AUUGAUUUGAAUUUAAAUUGAAAAAGCUAAAAUAAGGCUAAAUUGGACAUCCGUAAUAAAUUGUACAGGAAUGAAAUUGAGUAUUAUUUCAAUUUUCAUUCCUCAAUUAUGUUUGAAUCAAGAAAUUCUUUUUUUAAUAUUCUAAGUUGGAAAUUAAAUUAUCAUUAUUUAAGAAUCAAUAAAUUUUAAAUAGUUAAGAAAAUAGCUAAUAAUUUAAUAAUGGUAAGGUUUUCUAUGAUCACUUCUUCUACCUAGCUA
rnacentral:misc_RNA from 1 species